rnacentral:rRNA from 1 species
AGUUUGAUCAUGGCUCAGAUUGAACGCUGGCGGCAGGCCUAACACAUGCAAGUCGAGCGGCAGCGGGAAAGUAGCUUGCUACUUUUGCCGGCGAGCGGCGGACGGGUGAGUAAUGCCUGGGAAAUUGCCCAGUCGAGGGGGAUAACAGUUGGAAACGACUGCUAAUACCGCAUACGCCCUACGGGGGAAAGCAGGGGACCUUCGGGCCUUGCGCGAUUGGAUAUGCCCAGGUGGGAUUAGCUAGUUGGUGAGGUAAUGGCUCACCAAGGCGACGAUCCCUAGCUGGUCUGAGAGGAUGAUCAGCCACACUGGAACUGAGACACGGUCCAGACUCCUACGGGAGGCAGCAGUGGGGAAUAUUGCACAAUGGGGGAAACCCUGAUGCAGCCAUGCCGCGUGUGUGAAGAAGGCCUUCGGGUUGUAAAGCACUUUCAGCGAGGAGGAAAGGUUGGCG